rnacentral:rRNA from 1 species
CAGCCGCCGCGGGAAUACGUAGGGUGCGAGCGUUAAUCGGAAUUACUGGGCGUAAAGCGUGCGCAGGCGGUUCGUUAAGACAGAUGUGAAAUCCCCGGGCUUAACCUGGGAACUGCAUUUGUGACUGGCGAGCUAGAGUAUGGCAGAGGGGGGUAGAAUUCCACGUGUAGCGGUGAAAUGCGUAGAGAUGUGGAGGAAUACCGAUGGCGAAGGCAGCCCCCUGGGCCAAUACUGACGCUCAUGCACGAAAGCGUGGGGAGCAAACAGGAUUAGAUACCCCCGUAGUCCCUGUCUCUUAUAC